rnacentral:misc_RNA from 1 species
GAUGAAGAACGUAGCGAAAUGCGAUAAGUAAUGUGAAUUGCAGAAUUCAGUGAAUCAUCGAAUCUUUGAACGCACAUUGCGCCCGCCAGUAUUCUGGCGGGCAUGCCUGUUCGAGCGUCAUUUCAACCCUCAGGCCCCCAGUGCCUGGUGUUGGGGAUCGGCCCAGCCUUCCUGUAAGGCCGCCGGCCCCGAAAUCUAGUGGCGGUCUCGCUGUAGUCCUCCUCUGCGUAGUAGCACAACCUCGCAGUUGGAACGCGGCGGUGGCCAUGCCGUUAAACACCCCACUUCUGAAAGUUGACCUCGGAUCAAGUAGGAAUACCCGCUGAACUUAAGCAUAUCAAUAAGCGAGGA